rnacentral:lncRNA from 1 species
UGGUGGAUUUAAAAAUAAAUUUUUUCUAAUUAUUAAACUAUUUAUAUUAUAAUUAAUAAAUAAUAGUAUUUAAUAUAGAGUACCUUUUUAAUACUCUAUAUUAUAUAUUUUAUUCAAGAUGGACUAGUAUCCAAAUUCUUGAUUAAAUCGAUCUCCAUGUAAGUUUUUAAUUAUUACAUUUUAGACUAUUACCUCAUUUUGGUAUGUUUCUUUCAAUAUUUAUAAUG